AGCACUUCGGUGCGAGUACAGCGGCGGACGGGUGAGUAACGCGUAGGAAUCUACCUAGCUAGUGGGGGACAACAUGUGGAAACGCAUGCUAAUACCGCAUACGCCCUAUGGGGGAAAGCAGGGGAUCUUCGGACCUUGCGCUAUUGGAUGAGCCUGCGUCAGAUUAGCUAGUUGGUGGGGUAAUGGCCUACCAAGGCAACGAUCUGUAGCUGGUCUGAGAGGAUGACCAGCCACACUGGAACUGAGACACGGUCCANACUCCUACGGGAGGCAGCAGUGGGGAAUAUUGGACAAUGGGCGCAAGCCUGAUCCAGCCAUGCCGCGUGUGUGAAGAAGGCUCUAGGGUUGUAAAGCACUUUCAGUAGGGAGGAAAAGUUAGUAGUUAAUAUCUGCUAACCCUGACGUUACCUACAGAAGAAGCACCGGCAAACUCCGUGCCAGCAGCCGCGGUAAUACGGAGGGUGCGAGCGUUAAUCGGAAUUACUGGGCGUAAAGC
rnacentral:rRNA from 1 species